CUGUGCACAUCUUGACGGUACCUAAUCAGAAAGCCACGGCUAACUACGUGCCAGCAGCCGCGGUAAUACGUAGGUGGCAAGCGUUAUCCGGAAUUAUUGGGCGUAAAGCGCGCGUAGGCGGUUUUUUAAGUCUGAUGUGAAAGCCCACGGCUCAACCGUGGAGGGUCAUUGGAAACUGGAAAACUUGAGUGCAGAAGAGGAAAGUGGAAUUCCAUGUGUAGCGGUGAAAUGCGCAGAGAUAUGGAGGA
rnacentral:rRNA from 1 species